rnacentral:rRNA from 1 species
UAUUAUACUGAUAAAUAUAAUAAACCUGAAUUAUUAAUAGAUAUUUUCUUUAAAUUUGAAGAAUUUGGCGGUGACUUAGUCCUGUUAGAGGAACCUGUUUUUAAAUCGAUACACCACGCAAAAUCUUACUUGUUUUAUUAAGUUUGUAUACCGUCAUUGGCAGAUAAUUCUAAAAGGAUUAAUUAUUUAAGUUUUAAAAUAAAUUAAAAAUAAAUUAGAUCAAGGUGCAGCUAAUAAAUGAGUUAAAAUGGGUUACAAUAAGAUUUAUUUAUUACGGAGUAAUUUAAAAAGGAAGAAGUUUAUGAAGGAGGAUUUAAUUGUAAUGUUAGUUUAAUAAGCUAGCAUGAUAAUGGCUCUAAGUCAU